rnacentral:rRNA from 1 species
CAAAGGCUUCGGCCGGUAAAGGAUGGGGAUGCGUCUGAUUAGCUUGCCGGCGGGGUAACGGCCCACCGGGGCGACGAUCAGUAGGGGUUCUGAGAGGAAGGUCCCCCACAUUGGAACUGAGACACGGUCCAAACUCCUACGGGAGGCAGCAGUGAGGAAUAUUGGUCAAUGGGCGCGAGCCUGAACCAGCCAAGUAGCGUGCAGGACGACGGCCCUAUGGGUUGUAAACUGCUUUUAUACGGGGAUAAAGUAUGCCACGUGUGGUUUAUUGCAGGUACCGUAUGAAUAAGGACCGGCUAAUUCCGUGCCAGCAGCCGCGGUAAUACGGAAGGUCCGGGCGUUAUCCGGAUUUAUUGGGUUUAAAGGGAGCGUAGGCCGGAUUUUAAGCGUGCCGUGAAAUGUCGGGGCUCAACCUUGACACUGCGGCGCGAACUGGAGUCCUUGAGUGCGCGGAACGUAUGCGGAAUUCGUGGUGUAGCGGUGAAAUGCUUAGAUAUCACGAAGAACCCCGAUUGCGAAGGCAGCAUACGGCAGCGCUACUGACGCUGAAGCUCGAAGGCGCGGGUAUCGAACAGGAUUAGAUACCCUGGUAGUCCGCGCGGUAAACGAUGGAUGCCCGCUGUUGGCGAUAUAUUGUCA